GACGAACGCUGGCGGCGUGCCUAAUACAUGCAAGUAGAACGCUGAAGGAGGAGCUUGCUUCUCUGGAUGAGUUGCGAACGGGUGAGUAACGCGUAGGUAACCUGCCUGGUAGCGGGGGAUAACUAUUGGAAACGAUAGCUAAUACCGCAUAAUAGUAGAUGUUGCAUGACAUUUGCUUAAAAGGUGCAAUUGCAUCACUACCAGAUGGACCUGCGUUGUAUUAGCUAGUUGGUGGGGUAACGGCUCACCAAGGCGACGAUACAUAGCCGACCUGAGGGGGGGAUCGGCCACACUGGGACUGAGACACGGCCCAGACUCCUACGGGAGGCAGCAGUAGGGAAUCUUCGGCAAUGGACGGAAGUCUGACCGAGCAACGCCGCGUGAGGGAAGAAGGGUUUCGGAUCGUAAAGCUCUGUUGUAAGAGAAGAACGAGUGUGAGAGUGGAAAGUUCACACUGUGACGGUAUCUUACCAGAAAGGGACGGCUAACUACGUG
rnacentral:rRNA from 1 species